rnacentral:rRNA from 3 species
AGACCCGAAACCCGGUGAUCUAGCCAUGGGCAGGUUGAAGGUUGGGUAACACUAACUGGAGGACCGAACCGACUAAUGUUGAAAAAUUAGCGGAUGACCUGUGGCUGGGGGUGAAAGGCCAAUCAAACCGGGAGAUAGCUGGUUCUCCCCGAAAGCUAUUUAGGUAGCGCCUCGUGAAUUCAUCUCCGGGGGUAGAGCACUGUUUCGGCUAGGGGGCCAUCCCGGCUUACCAACCCGAUGCAAACUGCGAAUACCGGAGAAUGUUAUCACGGGAGACACACGGCGGGUGCUAACGUCCGUCGUGAAGAGGGAAACAACCCAGACCGCCAGCUAAGGUCCCAAAGUCAUGGUUAAGUGGGAAACGAUGUGGGAAGGCCCAGACAGCCAGGAUGUUGGCUUAGAAGCAGCCAUCAUUUAAAGAAAGCGUAAUAGCUCACUGGUCGAGUCGGCCUGCGCGGAAGAUGUAACGGGGCUAAACCAUGCACCGAAGCUGCGGCAGCGAACGUAUCACCCAAGACAACUUUACGGAGUUGACGAUUGACGGAGCGAAGCGACGUCAAAGCGUUCAUUAAAGUCGAGUUGGCUUAGGGAUACGUUCGUUGGGUAGGGGAGCGUUCUGUAAGCCUGUGAAGGUGUGUCGUGAGGCAUGCUGGAGGUAUCAGAAGUGCGAAUGCUGACAUAAGUAACGAUAAAGCGGGUGAAAAGCCCGCUCGCCGGAAGACCAAGGGUUCCUGUCCAACGUUAAUCGGGGCAGGGUGAGUCGACCCCUAAGGCGAGGCCGAAAGGCGUAGUCGAUGGGAAACGGGUUAAUAUUCCCGUACUUGGUGUUACUGCGAAGGGGGGACGGAGAAGGCUAUGUUGGCCGGGCGACGGUUGUCCCGGUUUAAGCGUGUAGGUGUGUGUUCCAGGUAAAUCCGGUUCACUUUAACACUGAGGCGUGACGACGAGGCACUACGGUGCUGAAGCAACAAAUGCCCUGCUUCCAGGAAAAGCCUCUAAGCAUCAGGUAACACGAAAUCGUACCCCAAACCGACACAGGUGGUCAGGUAGAGAAUACCAAGGCGCUUGAGAGAACUCGGGUGAAGGAACUAGGCAAAAUGGUGCCGUAACUUCGGGAGAAGGCACGCUGACACGUAGGUGAAGUGAUUUACUCAUGGAGCUGAAGUCAGUCGAAGAUACCAGCUGGCUGCAACUGUUUAUUAAAAACACAGCACUGUGCAAACACGAAAGUGGACGUAUACGGUGUGACGCCUGCCCGGUGCCGGAAGGUUAAUUGAUGGGGUCAGCGUAAGCGAAGCUCCUGAUCGAAGCCCCGGUAAACGGCGGCCGUAACUAUAACGGUCCUAAGGUAGCGAAAUUCCUUGUCGGGUAAGUUCCGACCUGCACGAAUGGCGUAAUGAUGGCCAGGCUGUCUCCACCCGAGACUCAGUGAAAUUGAACUCGCUGUGAAGAUGCAGUGUACCCGCGGCAAGACGGAAAGACCCCGUGAACCUUUACUAUAGCUUGACACUGAACAUUGAGCCUUGAUGUGUAGGAUAGGUGGGAGGCUUUGAAGUGUGGACGCCAGUCUGCAUGGAGCCGACCUUGAAAUACCACCCUUUAAUGUUUGAUGUUCUAACGUGGACCCGUAAUCCGGGUUGCGGACAGUGUCUGGUGGGUAGUUUGACUGGGGCGGUCUCCUCCUAAAGAGUAACGGAGGAGCACGAAGGUUGGCUAAUCCUGGUCGGACAUCAGGAGGUUAGUGCAAUGGCAUAAGCCAGCUUGACUGCGAGCGUGACGGCGCGAGCAGGUGCGAAAGCAGGUCAUAGUGAUCCGGUGGUUCUGAAUGGAAGGGCCAUCGCUCAACGGAUAAAAGGUACUCCGGGGAUAACAGGCUGAUACCGCCCAAGAGUUCAUAUCGACGGCGGUGUUUGGCACCUCGAUGUCGGCUCAUCACAUCCUGGGGCUGAAGUAGGUCCCAAGGGUAUGGCUGUUCGCCAUUUAAAGUGGUACGCGAGCUGGGUUUAGAACGUCGUGAGACAGUUCGGUCCCUAUCUGCCGUGGGCGCUGGAGAACUGAGGGGGGCUGCUCCUAGUACGAGAGGACCGGAGUGGACGCAUCACUGGUGUUCGGGUUGUCAUGCCAAUGGCACUGCCCGGUAGCUAAAUGCGGAAGAGAUAAGUGCUGAAAGCAUCUAA